GACGAACUGUCCUAACGUUGUUCGGAAUCACUGGGCUUAAAGGGCGCGUAGGCGGUCCGACAAGUCAGGGGUGAAAUCUUGCAGCUUAACUGUAAAAGUGCCUUUGAUACUGUCGGUCUUGAGGGAAAUAGGGGUGUGCGGAACUUCCAGUGGAGCGGUGAAAUGCGCUGAUAUUGGAAGGAACGCCGGAGGCGAAAGCGGCGCACUGGAUUUCUUCUGACGCUGAGGCGCGAAAGCUAGGGGAGCAAACGGG
rnacentral:rRNA from 1 species